rnacentral:sRNA from 2 species
UUUUAAGUUUUAUAGGGUUCCGCAGUUAUAAUAACUGGUCUGGUCCGAGAUAAAACGCACAGUUUUAACUGUGUUCACGGAAGGAUAAAAGCCUGGGAGAU